rnacentral:tRNA from 1 species
UGCGGUGUGGCCCAAUGGUAAGGCAGCUCCCUGUUAAGGAGACGCAUGCAGGUUCGAAUCCUGCCACCGCAGC